rnacentral:rRNA from 1 species
AACGAACGCUGGCGGCAGGCCUAACACAUGCAAGUCGAGCGAAGCCCUCGGGCUUAGCGGCGGACGGGUGAGUAACGCGUGGGAAGGCGUGGUUACGUACCGAUGAGCCCUGGGUAACGGGGAGUAACACCGGGUGUGCCCUUCUGGGUAAAGAGUUAUCGCCAAAGGAUCGGCCCGCGUUUGAUUAGGGAGUUGGUGGGGUAAUGGCCUACCAAGCCGACGAUCCAUAGCUGGUUUGAGAGGAUGAUCAGCCACACUGGGACUGAGACACGGCCCAGACUCCUACGGGAGGCAGCAGUGGGGAAUCUUAGACAAUGGGGGAAACCCUGAUCUAGCCAUGCCGCGUGAUCGAUGAAGGCCUUAGGGUUGUAAAGAUCUUUCAGUGGGGAAGAUAAUGACUGUACCCACAGAAGAAGCCCCGGCUAACUCCGUGCCAGCAGCCGCCGUAAAAC